GGGGGCGAUGGUACCGGUGUGCCCCACGGGCUGCAAACCCGUUGGCCCUGUCUAAUAAACAGGGAGGAGGUUCGACUCCCCUCGCCCCC
rnacentral:tRNA from 1 species